rnacentral:rRNA from 1 species
AGCAGCCGCGGUAAUUCCAGCUCCAAUAGCGUAUAUUAAAGUUGUUGCAGUUAAAAAGCUCGUAGUUGAAUUUCGGGGUCAGUAGGCUGGUCGUGCCCCCGGUACGUACUGGUCUAACUGAUUCCUCCUUCCUGAAGAAUCGUAAUGCCAUUAAUUUGGUGUUGCGGGGAAACAGGACUGUUACUUUGAAAAAAUUAGAGUGUUUAAAGCAAGCUAACGCUUGAAUACAUUAGCAUGGAAUAAUGAAAUAGGACGAUCGAUCCUAUUUUGUUGGUUUCUAGGAUUGACGUA